GACGAACGCUGGCGGCGUGCUUAACACAUGCAAGUCGAGCGGUAAGGCCCUUUCGGGGGUACGACGAGCGGCGAACGGGUGGAGUAACACGUGGGUGGACCUCGCCCUCCAGCUCUGGGAGUAAGCCUGGGAAACGUAGGGUCGUAAUACUGGAUAUGACUCCACGGUGCAUGUCGUGGGGUGGGAAAGCCUUGUGCGGCUGAGGAUGGGCCCGCGGCCUAUCAGCUUGUUGGUGGGGGAUGGCCUACCAAGGCGACGACGGGUAGCCGGCCUGAGAGGGCGGUCGGCCACACUGGCACUGACAUACGGGCCAGACUCCUACGGGAGGCAGCAGUCGGGAAUUUU
rnacentral:rRNA from 1 species